AGAGUUUGAUCAUGGCUCAGAUUGAACGCUGGCGGCAUGCCUUACACAUGCAAGUCGAACGGUAACAGGUCUUCGGAUGCUGACGAGUGGCGAACGGGUGAGUAAUACAUCGGAACGUGCCCGAUCGUGGGGGAUAACGAAGCGAAAGCUUUGCUAAUACCGCAUACGAUCUACGGAUGAAAGCAGGGGACCGCAAGGCCUUGCGCGAACGGAGCGGCCGAUGGCAGAUUAGGUAGUUGGUGGGAUAAAAGCUUACCAAGCCGACGAUCUGUAGCUGGUCUGAGAGGACGACCAGCCACACUGGGACUGAGACACGGCCCAGACUCCUACGGGAGGCAGCAGUGGGGAAUUUUGGACAAUGGGCGAAAGCCUGAUCCAGCCAUGCCGCGUGCAGGAUGAAGGCCUUCGGGUUGUAAACUGCUUUUGUACGGAACGAAAAGACUCUGGUUAAUACCUGGGGUCCAUGACGGUACCGUAAGAAUAAGCACCGGCUAACUACGUGCCAGCAGCCGCGGUAAUACGUAGGGUGCAAGCGUUAAUCGGAAUUACUGGGCGUAAAGCGUGCGCAGGCGGUUAUAUAAGACAGAUGUGAAAUCCCCGGGCUCAACCUGGGAACUGCAUUUGUGACUGUAUAGCUAGAGUACGGCAGAGGGGGAUGGAAUUCCGCGUGUAGCAGUGAAAUGCGUAGAUAUCAGGAGGAACACCGGUGGCGAAGGCGGGUCUCUGGGCAGUAACUGACGCUGAGGAGCGAAAGCGUGGGGAGCGAACAGGAUUAGAUACCCCGGUAGUCC
rnacentral:rRNA from 1 species